rnacentral:rRNA from 1 species
UCCAGACUCCUACGGGAGGCAGCAGUGGGGAAUAUUGCACAAUGGGGGAAACCCUGAUGCAGCGACGCCGCGUGAGUGAAGAAGUAUUUCGGUAUGUAAAGCUCUAUCAGCAGGGAAGAUAAUGACGGUACCUGACUAAGAAGCCCCGGCUAACUACGUGCCAGCAGCCGCGGUAAUACGUAGGGGGCAAGCGUUAUCCGGAUUUACUGGGUGUAAAGGGCGUGUAGGCGGAGCUGCAAGUCAGAUGUGAAAACCGCGGGCUCAACCUGUGGCCUGCAUUUGAAACUGUAGUUCUUGAGUACUGGAGAGGCAGGCGAAAUUCCUAGCGUAGCGGUGAAGUGCGUAGAUAUUAGG